rnacentral:rRNA from 1 species
UACGAAGGGGGCUAGCGUUGCUCGGAAUCACUGGGCGUAAAGGGUGCGUAGGCGGGUCUUUAAGUCAGGGGGGAAAUCCUGGAGCUCAACUCCAGAACUGCCUUUGAUACUGAAGAUCUUGAGUUCGGGAGAGGUGAGUGGAACUGCGAGUGUAGAGGUGAAAUUCGUAGAUAUUCGCAAGAACACCAGUGGCGAAGGCGGCUCACUGGCCCGAUACUGACGCUGAGGCACGAAGGCGUGGGGAGCAAACAGG